GGAGGGAUGAUGCCUUCCAGAUAUGGUUCCCUGGAAAGCUGAACAAAAUGAGUGACAACACUAUACCAUUGUCUUCAUCUAGCUGAGGUCC
ensembl:snoRNA SNORD116 Small nucleolar RNA SNORD116